UACAGAGGGUGCGAGCGUUGUUCGGAAUUAUUGGGCGUAAAGGGCGCGUAGGCGGUGCGGUAAGUCACCUGUGAAAUCUCCUGGCUCAACUGGGAGCUUGCAGGCGAAACUGCCGUGCUGGAGUGUGGGAGAGGUGCGUGGAAUUCCCGGUGUAGCGGUGAAAUGCGUAGAUAUCCGGAGGAACACCGGUGGCGAAGGCGGCUUCCUGGACCGACACUGACGCUGAGGCGCGAAAGCUAGGGGAGCAAACGGG
rnacentral:rRNA from 1 species